AUUAUAUAUAAAGAGAAGAAUCAAGACUCAGAGGACAUCAAGGGAACAGUGGCCAACGCAUGGAAGGCCACCUUCUCAUCAAGCCAACAUGAAGGUCAACUUGACCUUGCUCGCCCUCAUGGUGCUGAUUUGGUCUAUGAUGGCCACCGAAGAAGUGUCGGGGAUGAAGGACUCCGCUGACUUGAGAUCUACCCACCUGUGGUCCCGACGGUUCAGGAAAGACACCCUCAAAGCUAAGAGGAACGUCGACCUUGGACUCCUCGUUUGGGCUUUCACGAAAAGAUUCAAUAAAAGUAUUGGGAAGGAUAAUCCAAUUACAUACCGGCCUGCGCCAGAUCACCCAGUAGCCAUGUCAUAAAACUCUUAUGCAGGACCCCACGGGAGGAGCCGUCGGCGACCACGCGUGGCAUUUUGUAGGUUGCCAGGUGUAUGAUCCAGAUGUCCAGGAUUGGGUCCCUUG